AACGAACGCUGGCGGCAGGCCUAACACAUGCAAGUCGAGCGAAGCCUUCGGGCUUAGCGGCGGACGGGUGAGUAACGCGUGGGAACGUGCCCUUUGGUACGGAAUCGCCCCGGGAAACUGGGAGUAAUACCGUAGGUGGCCGAGAGACGAAAGAUUUAUCGCCAAAGGAUCGGCCCGCGUUGGAUUAGGUAGUUGGUGGGGUAAAGGCCUAACAAGCCGACGAUCGAUAGCAGGUUUCACAGGAUGAUCAGCCACACUGGGAGUGAGACACGGCCCAGACUCCUACGGGAGGCAGAAGUGGGGAAUCUUAGACAAUGGGGGAAACCCUGGUCUAGCCAUGCCGCGUGAUCGAUGAAGGCCUUAGGGUUGUAAGAUCUUUCAGUGGGGAAGAUAAUGACUGUACCCACAGAAGAAGCCCCGGCUAACUCCGUGCCAGCAGCCGCCGCAGUAA
rnacentral:rRNA from 1 species